GACCCUAUAGUUGAAUGGUAUACAACACCAUCUUCGAGUACGAAACAAAGCAAACAGUUAAGAUGGAGAACCUCGUUCGAUUCGAGGUAGGGUCC